GCCAAUAAAUAAUGGGAGAACAUUCAGACCGCAACCUCGCCAACCAAAUGUAUGGCAUUCGUUCCAGUAUAAGGCUGGAAGGGCGAUACCUUUCAACGAGAUGACUAGAACCCAACAAAGGCGUUUUCAACGGAACUAUGGGCGAAUGAUAAGGCAACAACAGGGAAUGCUACGUCCUAAGGCACUUAGACCACUCGAGGCAG
rnacentral:lncRNA from 1 species